rnacentral:rRNA from 1 species
CCGGUGACGAGCCGAGGAAGUGGGGAUGACGGUCAAGUCAGCAUGGCCUUUAUGUCCAGGGCCACACACGUGCUACAAUGGACGGUACAGAGGGACGCAAGACCGCAAGGUGGAGCAAAUCCUCAAAACCGUUCUCAGUUCGGAUUGCAGGCUGCAAUUCGCCUGCAUGAAGCUGGAAUUGCUAGUAAUCGCAGAUCAGCUACGCUGCGGUGAAUACGUUCUCGGGCCUU